CAGUCGCCGCGGUAAAACGUAGGGUGCAAGCGUUAAUCGGAAUUACUGGGCGUAAAGCGUGCGCAGGCGGUUAUAUAAGACAGAUGUGAAAUCCCCGGGCUCAACCUGGGAACUGCAUUUGUGACUGUAUAGCUAGAGUACGGCAGAGGGGGAUGGAAUUCCGCGUGUAGCAGUGAAAUGCGUAGAUAUGCGGAGGAACACCGAUGGCGAAGGCAAUCCCCUGGGCCUGUACUGACGCUCAUGCACGAAAGCGUGGGGAGCAAACAGGAUUAGAUACCCCCGUAGUCCCUGUCUCUUAUCC
rnacentral:rRNA from 1 species